UCCUGGAUUCAAGUGAUUCUUCUGCCUCAGCCUCCUGAGUAGCUGGGACUACAGGAAAGGAAACAAGUGGGAGAAGAUGCCAGGAUAACACAGCUGGAAGUGACAGUGCUGUGUUGGAACCAGGCCUAUCGGACUCUAAGAUCCAGCCUCGACCACUCCCUGAUACACUACAUGGCUUCGUUGUACUUACUUGGCAGAGGUAUGGGUUUUUGGUGGAGUUGUCUGCAAGGAAGAAUUUCAGAUAAUUAAAGGACAAAGCACAAUAUGAGUAAGUUUGACUUUUUGUUUACACUGAUGAUGCUGUGAACAGGCACAUCACAAAUAAAUCAAUACAAAUGGCCAAUAAAAUAUAUCUAAAGAUAGAAGAGGCACCAGAACCUUAAAGAUAAGUAAGACUCUUAGUUUUGAAAAAGGAGGAAAUAAUGACUAAAGUAUUGUAUUUUAGUUAAGUUCAAUAAUUAACCCAAUUAGUAGGUCUCUGCAACUCUAUACAGUUAUUUUAAAGUUGCUUAACACCUUUUAACAUGUAAUUGCAAAACAAUGAAAUGUUGGAUUUUUACCUAGCAUGACAAGUCAGUGUCACUGUGCAGUGAAACAAUGCACAUGUUAAUUCCUGCAGCAACAAGAGGAAACCGAUUUUUAAAGGAAAGCAUUCUUACUUCUGGGCGGGAGGAAACACUGGUGACUGCACAGCUUCUUGUCUGUGACUUGACCCUCGGUGGCGUUCAGCAGGUAUAGGUUUUUCUGAAUCAGGAAAAUUAUCAUAUUAGGAUUAGAGUGAAAUGUCUAUCAUCAUCCCAAAACCCAGCAACAUCAGCUGAGAAGAACCAAAUUUGAUCAGAAGUCUUCUCAGGAACAUGUCUUUUACUGGGAUGCCAUGGAUCUGUGCACUUGCCAGUUUGCUGAGGUACUUGUGCUUCUAGGACCAGGACUCACUCCCAGCAGUGUUACAUGUACAUCCUACCACCUCUGCGUUCAUCCACUGGCAAUGUACAUACAGACUGAACCCACAGGCCCUGAAACUUUAAGUGUGUGAGUAUAGGUGGAAGCCAGAAGAUGAGAACAUGUUAGCCACCCUCUAAACAACUCACCCUCUACUUUCCAUGUGGCCUCCACACAGGUGGAGAUAACACCCUGGUGGGUCUUGAUUAGUCAUAAGACAUGGUAUAAGCAGUGUGUUACUGAUAAGAGGCACACUACUGAGUUCACAAAUGAUCUCUUUUUGCAAAAUUAAUUGGAUCAAAUUCAAGGUUAUCCCUAUAAUAAUGUAAAUCUCACUUGCAUUUCACUGUGUUUUCCUGAGCAGAAGAGGAAAGGGUGGGAAAUGGGCAUAAACCUGAAGUGUAAGAAAUUUAUGCUGAAGCCCAUGGUGAACUCUACUGCUGAACCAUUCAGAAAUGUGAUCAUAAAUUAUUUUAAUACUUUACUCUCCCUCAAAUUUGCCCUUGGGAAGUAGGUUGUGUUAAAAUCUUGGUAUGUUCAUGUGUGAGUCUCUGCAUGGAAGAAAAGUCUGAGAACUACAGAAACCUCAAAGAAAUAAAAGUAGUAAGAACUCAAAGAUUCAAAUAAAUGGUAAAAAAGAUGUCAGGGUUUCUUACCAUUCAGUGGUGCACUAAAGCUUGGAAACCUUGAACCUCUGAAGAUUGUAUUUUGAAUUUGUGGCAACUUACUUUAAACCUCUAUGUUAGAGGUUUUGCUCAUGACGUUAAAACUUGGUAAUUUCAGAAAGAGAAACAAUGAACACCUUAGGUCUUGCCAGCCUAUAAGCUUUGACCACACCUGCUUUGCCUCCGCCAUCCUGAAUCCUUCCUAGACUAGUAGAGGCCACUCCCUCGCUUUGCAUUUGGAUGGCAAUUGCCUAUGCUCUUGAAAUAAAUAACAAAGGAGGGGGCAUGCCUGGCAGGCGCCUGUACUGGGAGCCCUUUGAGAAUGAGGACACCUAAGCAGCAGGGGAUAUGCCAUGGGCCCCGCUUCUCUCCUGGGUUUUGGAGGUUCUUGUAGCCAAGAAGUCUGCACAGGGUCGUACUUACUUCCUACAGAUUCUCAGAGCCCCUGAGGUCACUAUCACUCCACAACCCGGACUCAGCAGGUCUGAGAGGCUGCAAGGAAUGGAAGGACAGAAAAGACAAAAGCCUCAAAGGGAAGGCAGAAGAAAGCAAUAUGGCAGGAAAGGGGUGAUGCCUCAGAAAUAGCCUAGGGAAGCAAGAUGUGGGAGACAGGAUGAAAAAACCUAAUGGCAUCAUUAAAGCAGAGAGGUGAGUUGUAGUGCACGCUCAGAAAAGAUCCACUGUCCAUCAUCAGAGAAAUGAGAGCGCUUUAUGUAGAUGUGCACACAUUAACUCAGGGAAGGGGAGAAUACUCACUACAUUUUUAACCCAGGGGAUCUUCAAGUAUGAUUAAAUGGGUACAGGGCAGGAACUUCUAUAUAAUGUUUUAAGUGUUGAUAUUAUAGAUGAUUCUUCUAUUUUUUCACGAUAAUUUCUGAACACAAUUUUUUUAAACAUGGGCAGUUUCUAAAAAUAUAUAUAAGAUUUUUGAGUGAUGAUAAAGGAAGAAAUUCUAAAUUACUCAGGAGGCUGAGGCAGAAAGACAGCUUGAGCCCAGGAAUUUGAGACUGCAGUGAGCUAUAAUUAUGCACCACUGCACUCCAGUCUGGGCUACAAAGCGAGACCCUAACUCAAAAAAAAAAAAGGAAGAAAAGCAAUUGAAGAUAUACUAAGAAGACAGACAUUUGAACUUUGAAAACAUUAUCUUGAAAACUUAGCAAAAGAAUUUGUUCAAAUAAACAGAUUUUUAAAAUUUUCAUUACUUUAAGUAAGCUAUUAGUUCUAAAACAUGUGAAUAGCUCUACAUUAGUUUUCAAAUCUAUGUAAGGUCCUAGCACUAUUUCCUGGCAAGUCAUAUCUGUCUGCCAACAGGCAGGUUUUUGCAUGCAUUCUUUAGCCUACUCUAAAGAUGCUAAGGUUCUGAGCUAGUUUUGCUGUUCAUUGCUCAUUACGAAAACUAUUUUGUUUAGAAAAUUGAGUUUCAUGUUACAAUUGCCCCCAAAAUAAUGUAAUAAAUGUGUAUAUACAAAUCCUUAAUUAAAAUAACUUUUAGAAGAUGUGCUCAUCCUUCAAAAUAAUAGAUUUUACCUUCACAAACACUUGAAGUAUUCUGUUGAGAGGCAACUGGAGUCUAUGUAAAAGACAAAAAGGCAAGGAUAUUCAAUAUAGCAGAAUGUGGAAAUAAAUGUCAGAGCAAUAUUAUUAAAAUAAAUAUUUUGGGAGCACUUU